GGGAGACGGCGACAGACCCGCGGUAUAUCCGAGUCCCCGCGGUAUAAGCGACGGCGUUAUAACCGGGGAGCGCUGUAGUGAUUUAAGGCUGAGUCGACCUAGCGGAGGUCCAUGACCGGUAAAAAAAAUUCGGCAACGUGACGACUGGCGACUGGUCGUGGUGAGCUCGGAUCGAACUGGGACAGCCGGAAGCGUGGCGCCGCUCAGCUGGCUUGGAGCGGCAAGAUGCAGGACACAACGAAGCUCACAACGUGCUGAACGCUUUCAAGCUCUCAAUUCAGUGUCAAUGUUAACUCGCCACCGCUGCCGAUUUAAGGCUGAGUCGACCUAGGGCGGAGGGAACACGGCACCGACGUGAGCCGUGGCGCUGGAGGGGG